rnacentral:lncRNA from 1 species
ACUUCGUGGGGGGAGGGGGGAGGCCCUGGGGAGGGAGGGGACCCGGGAGGAACUGGGACAGAUUCUCCAGGCUGGUGUACAGGACAGAUGCAACUACGACGGCAACGAUUCCCAUCCUCGCUUUCUGCAGAAAGGGGCUCAGCUCUUCCGUGCGGCCUCUCCGCUGCUCUCGCGGCGGUCACGCGCCCCCGGCUCGGCUUGGCGACCCGACCCGAUUCACAGCUGCCAGAGCCACACCAUUGUGCGAGGCUGCCGAAUCCUGUCGUGGCCCUGUGCCAGUUUUCACCCCAGCACCAGAACUGGCUGGGGCCAUUCCCUCUCUGGACUGCACGCAAGCCAGGAAGACUGCAAGGGAGGACUUCAUCAGAGUCUUCAGCCGUCAGAGAGAAGGGUUUUCUGAGAAACAUCAAGUGGAAGUAAUCAGUUAACCAGCGCAGGUUGUCACAGCAGUGAGCAGAGUUCGACCGGCUUGGCAUUGGAGGCCCGGGACACGCUGUGCCGUUGGAGUGGUGCAGGAAGACUCCGUGCCAGAGCGGGCCUGGAGGGUGGAGAUGCGGCCCACAGGUGGCAGGAACAGACUGCUCCCUAGCCGGGAGGUCGUGGAUUUCCACGGGUGGACAGGAGGGCAGAGAACGCCACACUUUCCAAUGCAUCUUGUGAACCUAGCACUGCUCUACAAAUAACACCUCAAAAAUGUGAGUGACUGCGGCCCCAGAGGCGCCUGCCCUCCUCCAAGGCCGGCCUCGGCCUCGGGAUGCUGGGCCUGCUCUGUGCUCCCUUCCCUUCCAGUCUGCUCCAGGCCUCUGGACCUCAGAUGUCCCAUCAUGUGUCAAAACAAACGCAGCGUCCAUUGCCAGAAUGCUGAUGGCCUGGACCUCCUGGACUUCACAGGCGCCCACCUUCUGUCUGCUGCAGAAGAAAGACGGCUCUGAUCAGGGACUUUUUUAUUUACCUGAUCUGUAAGGUAAUUAAUAGAUGGCUGCUCACCGAUCAAGGCCCUUUCAAAGGAAAUGAGACAGCCUCAGUGCAGCUUGUACUUCUGAAUCAUUCCAGGGCCUUAUCAAAGUGGGAGUGAUAAUUUAAUGUAAAUCCUGCUGCUCUGACCAAGUAUCUUUUAACCUGUACACACCGUUCUCACCACAGUUCAGAAGUGCUGAAGGGGGUCUCAUGUGUGUCACAGGCCAGCAGUGCACCAUUGUGAUCUCUUCCAAUUAAUAGGGAGGCCGGUUAUGAAGACAUCUCCGGGUCUCGUGCUGUCCUGCCACAGGACCUCGGUGGGGAACUGCCCUUUCCCUGGAGAACCUGGUUUCAGGCGGUCAGGACUGGACUCUGUGUGGACUCUGAAAACACCUGGGGCAGGCAGGAGCAGGGCUUCCCCAGUGCCCACCGCUGGCACAUUCCCUCUCGUUUGCUUUGGAUAAAUAAAAUGCUUUCACC